GGAUCCAGACUUUGAUUCUGGCUCAGGAUGAACGCUGGCGGCGUGCCUAACACAUGCAAGUCGAACGGAAUUUACAUGAAGCCUAGCGAUUGUAAAUUUAGUGGCGGACGGGUGAGUAACGCGUGGGUAACCUGCCUUGUACUGGGGGACAACAGUUGGAAACGACUGCUAAUACCGCAUAAGCGCACAGCUUCGCAUGAAGCAGUGUGAAAAACUCCGGUGGUACAAGAUGGACCCGCGUCUGAUUAGCUGGUUGGUGAGGUAACGGCCCACCAAGGCGACGAUCAGUAGCCGGCCUGAGAGGGUGAACGGCCACAUUGGGACUGAGACACGGCCCAAACUCCUACGGGAGGCAGCAGUGGGGAAUAUUGCACAAUGGGGGAAACCCUGAUGCAGCAACGCCGCGUGAGUGAAGAAGUAUUUCGGUAUGUAAAGCUCUAUCAGCAGGAAAGAAAAUGACGGUAUCUGACUAAGAAGCCCCGGCUAACUACGUGCCAGCAGCCGCGGUAAUACGUAGGGGGCAAGCGUUAUCCGGAUUUACUGGGUGUAAAGGGAGCGUAGACGGUUUUGCAAGUCUGAAGUGAAAGCCCGGGGCUUAACCCCGGGACUGCUUUGGAAACUGUAGGACUAGAGUGCAGGAGAGGUAAGUGGAAUUCCUAGUGUAGCGGUGAAAUGCGUAGAUAUUAGGAGGAACACCAGUGGCGAAGGCGGCUUACUGGACUGUAACUGACGUUGAGGCUCGAAAGCGUGGGGAGCAAACAGGAUUAGAUACCCUGGUAGUCCACGCCGUAAACGAUGAUUACUAGGUGUUGGUGGGUACGACCCAUCGGUGCCGCAGCAAACGCAAUAAGUAAUCCACCUGGGGAGUACGUUCGCAAGAAUGCAACUCAAAUGAAUUGACGG
rnacentral:rRNA from 1 species